CCUGUGGAUAUAGUCUGCAUGGACAUUACUAAAGCCUAUGACGCCAUUUCCCACAGCAUUAUCCUUGAGAAAUCAGCAGCUGAUGGCUUGGGCAGGUGCACUGUUCACUGACUGAAGAACUGCCUGGAUGGCUGGGCCCAGAGUGUGGUGAACUGGAGAACUUGGUGUGAAGAACAGCACAACUUCCUAAGGCUCAGGAUGGGCCAUGUGACAGAAAGCUCUUUUAUGCCCCAAUGCUUCAGACCCUCUACCAUUCCCAGGCAUGGUAAUCACCACCAGUGGAGCUCUGAUUUACUUCUCCAUUUGAGUCUUCUCUUAUGCCACUUUUCACUAAAUGCUUCAGAAAAUCCAGGCCAGGCUCUGUGCUGACAGAAG